rnacentral:rRNA from 1 species
AUUGAACGCUGGCGGCAGGCCUAACACAUGCAAGUCGAACGAGUGGCGGACGGGUGAGUAAUGUCUGGGAACCUGCCCGAUGGAGGGGGAUAACUACGGGAAACGGUAGCUAAUACCGCAUACCAUCGGAUGUGCCCAGAUGGGAUUCGCUAGUAGGUGGGGGAACGGCUCACCUAGGAGACGACCCCUAGCUGGUCUGAGAGGAUGACCAGCCACACUGGAACUGAGACACGGUCCAGACUCCUACGGGAGGCAGCAGUGGGGAAUAUUGCACAAUGGGCGAAAGCCUGAUCCAGCCAUGCCGCGUGUGUGAAGAAGGUCUUCGGAUUGUAAAGCACUUUAAGUUGGGAGGCGUUACCAACAGAAUAAGCACCGGCUAACUUCGUGCCAGCAGCCGCGGUAAUUC